GUUCUAUAAUUAGGGCUAUGCUUUCUCACUGGUAAUCGCUCUGACUAAGGGAUCUUUUCCCGAAAUGUCGGUUGAAUAAACACAGCAAGGAGGAACUUGGGUGUGUGACUUUCAGAUUUUUCAUUGAACGCAAACAAGGCAAAUACAGUUCGUGAAUGGGAGUGGACAUGCAGGUCACAUGACCCCGGCUCACCUCAUCACUGUGUGGGACCCUUUGCAGCGUCAAACAUCUUCUUCCUGCCCUCCAUUCCAGACAUGGCCUCCACAUUCUUCCUCCAGUCACUAUCCUCUACUGGCCGCUUCUAUGAACGACAGAAUGGACGAAUGAUGAAUGGACAGAAGGAGAGAGUGUAAGCUACUGAGGAACAGCGGGCAGCUACAGCGCAGUGCCCAGGGCUCAUCCAGUUCUGAGGCCAGUGCCUUGGUUAAGGGCCAAGGCAGGAGUGCCCCUAACCUGACAUGCAUGUCUUAGUGUGGGAAGAAACCGGAGUUCCCAGAGGAAGCCAGGGAGAACAUACAAGCUCCACGCAGAGAGGAUCCGUCCAGCCAGGACUCUAAACUCGGAAGCUCUGUCUCGCAAGGCAGCAGUGCUACCCGCCCCGCCAGCGUGCCACCCUUAAUUGGUGUUCGGCACCAAAUUGGGUACACUGCGGCCCUCCAUGCCUGGUACCUCUGCUUAAACAGUCCCGUCUGGGCACACCUGUCACAUGAUGGUGUUUGGAACAGAGCCGGUCCGCGGGGGAAAGGGGUGUGUGGAGCACGGUGGGGAUUUCGGUUUCUGUUUUACGGGGGUUUGUGGCGCCACCUGGAG